AUCCCCAGAGGAAGAGGCGGCUAACUCUGUGCCAGCAGCCGCGGUAAGACAGAGGCCUCAAGCGUUAGGCGGAAUCACUGGGCUUAAAGCGUGUGUAGGCGGAUCGUUAAGUGACUUGUGAAAUCCCACGGCUCACCCGUGGAACUGCUGGGCAUACUGGCGAUCUUGGGCCAACUAGGGGCAACUGGAACAAGCGGAGGAGCGGCGAAAUGCGUAGAUAUCGCUUGGAACGCCAAAGGUGAAAACAGGUUGCUGGGGUUGUGCCGACGCUGAGACACGAAAGCCAA
rnacentral:rRNA from 1 species